UACAGAGACUGCAAGCGUUAUUCGGAUUCACUGGGCGUAAAGGGUGCGCAGGCGGCCGGGUGUGUCAGAUGUGAAAUCCCGAGGCUCAACCUCGGAACUGCGCCUGAAACUACUCGGCUAGAGUAUUGGAGAGGGUAACGGAAUUCACGGUGUAGCAGUGAAAUGCGUAGAUAUCGUGAGGAACACCAGAGGCGAAGGCGGUUACCUGGACAAUUACUGACGCUCAGGCACGAAAGCGUGGGGAGCAAAAGGG
rnacentral:rRNA from 1 species